GUAAAGUUCUUUUUAUGUUUUCAAAUGCCAUGAUAAUCAUUCUCGGUCCUUAUUUCACAUUGAUUUCAACCUCUACUCUCCAUUACUGCUAAUCUGUAAGUGCCAUGAAAAAAAGGAUCUGUUUUAUUUACUUUUCUGUCACUAAUGCAGGUCACAGUUGCCAGCACAGAAUGGUGUUUAAUAAAUGUUUGUUUCAUAAAUGAACGUGGAAUUUCUCCGAGGCAGCCAUGUUUUCUAUAAAGCGAAUGAAAACUAGAGAAAGCUGGUCUAUAGAAAAAGAAAAGAAUGAAGCAGAUAUGCAGAGGGGGAAAGAAAGAAGCACAGGAAAGAUGGAGAGAGAGUCCGGGCAUCUUUCCAGAUCGUGGUGUAUUAACUAGGAUACAGACUAUCAAGGCUCAAGGUGAAAGAUGCCAAUGAGAGAGAACCCUGUUGUUCGGGUUUUUUUUGAGGAAGAUUAGCCCCGAGCAUGGCUUGACAAGUGGAUUGUAAGUCUGUGCCCAGGAUUCCAACCGGCGAACCCUGGACCACCAAAGCGGAGACCAUGAACUUAACCACUACGCCACUGGGCCGGCCCCAAGAACUCAUUUUUUUAAAUGCCUGUGCUAUCACCUCUCAGGCAUGUCUCUUCGUCUUCUUCUUUCUUCUAUAAUUGAAAUAUUUAAUAAACAACGUAUUCAACACCAUAUUGUAUACUUGAAAGUUGCUAUGAGAGUAAAGCCUUAAUGUUCUCACCACCACAACACCACGAUGGUAAUUAUGUGAGGUGGAGAACAUGUUAGCCAGCCCUGGGCUCUAGCGGUUAAGACUUGGGCCUGGGUUCAUUUCCCGCUGAGGGAACCACACCACCCGUCAGUUGGGUGUCAGACUGUGGUGGCUGCAUGUUGCUGUGAUGCUGAAAGCUCUGCCACUGGUAUUUCA
rnacentral:lncRNA from 1 species